CCUUCGUCUCUGCUGCGCCGGAGGUCGCCUUUGUCGUGAAGGAGAGACAAACCAAGAAAAACCUAUAUCAUCCCACUCGUUUCCUCAUUCUAAAUCUAAAUACAAUAUUAAUUUUAGGCAAUUCCAAUCCUUACGUCCAAACCGAAGUGAAAAUGUUAAGGAACCCUAAUACAAAAAUGAUAAGUUAAAACCUCCUCACUCAAAACCAAAGCUCUAGAGGUUAGGGCUUUGACUCCAGUAACCUCACCUUACAUCUCAAAAACGGAGCAAAUGGUUAUGAAAAACAAGAAACUCAUCGGAUAAGACACAGAGCACCGAAAUUCAGGUUUUAUUGGCAUGUCUAUUUGGUCAUGAAUGUGCUUGAAGAUCAUGAAGAUGUGGACUUAAGGACUUAGGGAUAGAUGGUUGACUUUGGUCAAUUAGUUGACCAAAAAGUCAACAGUUGACCAAAGCAAAAUAUAGGUUAGAAUAGGGUUUUUUCCUUGAUGUAUUGGAUAUGGACUUGUAAAAAUGACUUGUAAUGUGGAGAAGUUUUUGACAUGAAUAUCACUUGGUUAAAUAAA